UGUGUGUGUUGUUUGUUGCAGGCGCUAAGGAGAUUGACAUCGCCGCGACCCUGGAGCACUUGAGGGACCAGAGACCGGGCAUGGUCCAGACAAAGGAGCAGUUCGAGUUUGCGCUGACGGCCGUGGCGGAGGAGGUGAACGCCAUCCUCAGGGCCCUCCCGCAGUGAGCGCGAGCGCGCAGCCCAAGGCUGGGAGGGGCCGGCGUCACGACUGUCGACGGUCGCUGGGAAUUGCGAUGCCACUUAGUUGCGUGUCUUCAGCGUCCCUGCCUCGUCAGUGCGGUCCAGCGGUUACAAUGUGCAUUUGUGUUCAACCAAGUCAUAGUAAGGGGAGAUUUGGGGGAUCGUCCAGUCACAAGGACAAUCACUUUAUCUGUUUUCACUUCCUUGAAAGGAAAACACUUUUCCUUAAAGCACACAUUCACAUCCUUAAUUGCAAACAGUGCCAUACAACGACGCUGUAGGUGGUGUGCUCCGCACCAUCUCCACGAAGAGAGCCGACCUGUGGGCCGUAACUCUGAAGGAUGGGCCAGCUCUGCAGGGAGGGGACCCGGGGAAGCGGGAAGGGCACCACAAGCAUUUGGCAUUUGUCUUUACGACGGCUCAUCACCGGCAGGAACCACCCCCCCGGCUUGUUCAGGAGUUAGAGCAACAAACUUACCAUUCUGCAGCUUUGGGGGAAAUAACAGCAUCGACCCUGCAUCUUCCCUCCGUUCCCGUGCGGGCUGGCCGACACCUGCCCCCGGCACUGUGGACAGCCCAUCUCCACCGCCCACCCCCCACAGAAGGGCAGGGGCCUCGGGGCACACGUGUCCCAGGCCAGCCGCCCCAGGCAAGGCCUCCCAUCCGCAACCCGUCUGGAGACGCAUUUUUAACUUUAAAUACAGAUUUACACAUUGCAAAAGCAGAUGCUGUUAAUAAACUCUUCCCUUAGGGGUAACCAGAGCCAGGGAACCAACCUGCAGGUAACAAGCUCCGGGGUCCCCAAGGAGCACACGAGCCCCCGGCGGGCUCCUGUGCUCCCCUCUUGGGGGAUGUCCUGGGCCCUGCCGGCAUCCAGGGCAGACCCUGGGUACCCCGUUCCCAGAAGGGGAUGCAGGGUGCCAUACAUUGUUGGCUUUACUGGGUGAGAUCCUGGCACCAGGGAGAAAGGCAGAAAUGGCAGCGUUUCCUGGGCCCCGCCCCCUCCCAGGGUCACCUCGGUCAGACACUGUGUGACUCGCUCAGACACAAGCGUCUAGAGGCGAUUCGGGUUUGCCACCCCCCCCAGCCCCCGACAGAGGAGCUCAUUUCGCCGGACUCAGAACGGUGGGUUCUAAGAAGGCAUGCAGACCGCUCUGUGCGCUACAGCUUUCAUCUUAGGAUUAGGUGUGAAUACAUCCCCUGUACCUUUCCACGUCCCGCUUACUGCACACAUUCUUCCCGCCUAAGUAGACACUGCAACCCAGAAACCAGUAGCAUCGGGAGAACGGCCUGUGACUGGGGAGGAAGAUGCCAAAUACUGUUUGUGUCUCUAAGUGGUCCUGUCAUGUCAUCUGCUCUAAUAGAUCUAUAAUUUUUUGCCAGAGUUGUUUCUCCCCAUCUGGAAUCUAAAUAAUGAAUAGGAACUAAUUUAUCUGAAUAUAGGAAGCGUAUACCUACUUGUAAUUUCUAACUUCUUAUGUUUCAAAAGAAAUCCUCCAGUGUGAGAUAUAUAAAUAUAUUUAAUUGUGUCAGAUUAAACUUUUGAUUUCACA